AUUGAACGCUGGCGGCAGGCCUAACACAUGCAAGUCGAGCGGUAGAGAGGUGCUUGCAUCUCUUGAGAGCGGCGGACGGGUGAGUAAUGCCUAGGAAUCUGCCUAGUGGUGGGGGAUAACGUUCGGAAACGGACGCUAAUACCGCAUACGUCCUACGAGAGAAAGCGGGGGAUCUUCGGACCUCGCGCCAUUAGAUGAGCCUAGGUCGGAUUAACUAGUUGGUGAGGUAAUGGCUCACCAAGGCGACGAUCCGUAACUGGUCUGAGAGGAUGAUCAGUCACACUGGAACUGAGACACGGUCCAGACUCCUACGGGAGGCAGCAGUGGGGAAUAUUGGACAAUGGGCGAAAGCCUGAUCCAGCCAUGCCGCGUGUGUGAAGAAGGUCUUCGGAUUGUAAAGCACUUUAAGUUGGGAGGAAGGGUCGUAACCUAAUACGUUGCGGCUUUGACGUUACCGACAGAAUAAGCACCGGCUAACUUCGUGCCAGCCGCCGCUGUAAAAC
rnacentral:rRNA from 1 species